UCGUGACCAUCAUGGCUGCCAUGGCUGUCCUACAGUUUUUAUGUUUUCGAUGAAGUUUCCCUAGUCGUACCAAUUGCAGUGCACCUGUUUACACAUAUUGAGUACUGUAAGCGAGAAUGUGUGCGGUAGUACAUAAUCACGUAGAAUGCCUUGCUUUGUUUUUUCAAAUUACCGGAAAACAACAUGCAUGGUGAGGACCUACACGCCGCAUCGAAAUGGGAGCCGGCCAAAGAAAUUUGGAAUUAUUUGUGCAACAAUCACUUGGCAACGAGCCACCCAACAGGAACUCCAACAAAGCAGAACAUUUGGGUUGAUGGAUCAUUGUAGUCAAUUUGAUGUAAAAUUGGCUCUGAAUAAGCAUUCAUACAUGUGUACAUUGCUAUAUGUAUUGUUUUGUACCUCUGCUAUAUUGAGUUUAGACUUUUGUGCCAAGAUCUCAUUUGUGUUGUCUUUAUCCUAUAAAUGCUGCAUAAGGGUCAACUUAUGGAAGACAUCUUACAAGAUACGCUUUAAUGUUGGUGAUCUAAAAGAUAAUUGCAGUGCAUGAAGCACUUGUGGCCUCCCCCAACAAAGAAUUGUGUUUGGCUGUCGCCCAUGGUGCAAGUCUGUUCUUGUAAGGGCUGGAACCAUGUAGUGCUAACCCUGCAAACAUUUGUCACCUAUCUAUCUCACAAACAUGCUGCAAUUGAGAGCAAGGAUGUGGUAGUGAUGGAAGUUGGUCAUGAAUGAUGCAAGUGUUUAUAUAUUUUUAUGUAAUAUUGAAGCACAAGCAUGUGUGGACAACUUUUGCUUUGUAUUGGUGCAGUGGAUCUAUUUAACUUGGCAUGUGGAAACUGUGAGGCAAACGUACUAGACAGUCGUGUCUCUGAUGCAUUAUGUUGAGUGCCUGGCAACCACUCCACUGACAUCAAAGUUCUUGAUAUCAAGUACUUUUACACGUGUGAAGCACACAAAUGAAACGUCCAUUAUAUCGACAGAGAAUUACAAAGGCAGCCAUGUCAGAAUUCACCAUUUCUUGCUAAAAAAAAUGAAAGAGGCUUUUACCACUUCGCCAUUACAUAGUAAAACCGUUGAUUUGAGGACAGCUGUUUUCGUGUGUGUUCUCGUUUAGAGCACUUUCCCUCAGAAGUUAGUUACGUUGGGUCAGCACAAUUGGUUCCUUGCCUGUAGGUCAUCGACCGUUGUAAACAUGCAAAACAGAAAAUUGUGAAAAAGACAAAUACGGAUGGUGAGUGUGAUUGCAACGCAUGACCAAUUCCUGGACAGAUAAAAAAUGUAUUUUUAUGCACGAGAGUCCUCGGAUUCUCAUAAACUACGAACAUGCAUAUGGUUUAGCUUGGAAGGUGGCCCUUGUGCAUCACAGUUUGACCACUCACAGUGUACUGUUGCUAAUCAAUUGCUUACCCUAGUUUUGUGCAUGAGUAGUGUCUUUGUUUUGAAUGGGUUUGUGAGAGGGCAUGGCAUCUCAAGUAUCAGUCCCACUUUGUGAAAAUUAUUACGCAAGCAUGGCAGAGGCUAUGUGACGCAAACCACCCACAUUCUAAUCUGCAGUGGUAUUGAAGAAAAAUCCGUACUGAUAUCGGUACUGUCCAUUUUCCGUAAGCCAGUGGGAGCCCCGAAAAAAUGGCGGUUCAUAGAAGGCUUCUUGUGAACACUUAGUGGUUCAGUUGCGAACGUACCCGCUCACCGAUACAGAGAUUACGGAACCCAUGUGGCAGCGAUGCCAGUAAUUUGAUGGCACGGUACGGGGUCUUUAGACAUGUCAGAGUCUGUGAGAAACAUUGAAGAAUGUGCUGACACAUGAAUACACAGGAGAACUUCCAUGCAAGCAAGGUUAAGCCAUAGGCCAGCCUACCAACAAACGAUCUCUAUAACCGGCACCCUGAGACAUUUUUGCCGCUUGUGAACACCAAUUUUUACGAUAACUGUGUUGAAGUUGUUCAUUUGGUUGCUCUUCUCAUGAGGGAAAACCAACCAAGAAGGAUAUUUGGAAAAGCAACAUUUUGGGCAGGCAGUGUAAAAUGUGAACAAAAAUAUUUUUCACUUAAUUAUAGUGUAACGAGAAGCAGAUGCAAGGUAAAAGUCAUGUUGAAUCAAACGAUUUCACGCAGCAUGCCUCUCGGGUGUGUGAAGUAUGCUCAAAUGUUCACGCGCAGGUGCAAGCGAAAUGUUGCCCGAAUCAACGUCAAAGCUUAAAAUGGCGAAUGGUGCAUAGCCUAUGUGACUAGCUCAGACACAGAAUUUCGACCAAUCCUAGUCUCAUUUGAGCAACUCACUUCCUGAUGCCACCUUCAAAAUGGUUGACCCCUUCUUAUGUGGAGUAAUAGCGAACAACAACCUACUUUUCCUGAAAAACAAUACUGUAAACGUAUUUUUAUUCGCGAUGUAUUAAUUUUCGCGAAUUGCGCAUUCAGUCAUUUACGAAAUUAUUCGCGAGUAUUUAAUUUCGCGGUUCCAGGGCUGUUUCCUUCCGCGGGAUAAACGUCAAGCUGUUUUCGCGUGUACAAUUUUUCGCGAUGUUUUAGCAGUCGCGAAAUUCGCGAAAAUUAAUACAUCGCGAAUAAAAAUACGUUUACAGUAUGUGUACAAUGGAGGUAAAUUUAUCACCCUAAGAUAUAUAGUCCCAUGGCUGUGUCAUGUGUGGUGGCACAUCAUAGAAAGGAAAUUGUAGGCAUAUGUUAUGCAUGUCUUGUUGUUGCAUAAUAGCAAAGAGUACUCUAAUUCAUUUGUAAGAAAUUGACGGAAGUCAUUCAGGAGGCACAGCUAAUCUAGAUCUGUCGACGCAUUUGGAAUGUUACAACAUAUUCGAAAAUUAGUGUUGAAAGCUGUAUUCAUUGAGAUAUCUCAUGAUAGGUGCCAUUCCCUCUAAUCAUUUUCUUCAUGUGCCUUUGUUUCAUAUGCAAUGCUAACGGAAAAUAUAAAGUGGAGAUGCGGAAAACUGCAUGUGCAGGACGUUGGCUGUGGAGCCGACCACGUAUUCCUCUACGCUUCCGCUGUGGGUUCUGCUCCUACUCGUCCAAUCAUCGUUCCAAUGUGGUGGCCCACGAGCGCACGCACACGGGGGAACGACCUUUCCGUUGUCACAUCUGCGGUCAUGCCUUUGCGCAGAAGGGCAACCUGGUGUUGCAUCUUCGACGGCACACGGGUGACAGCUGCCUGCGGUGUCACCUCUGCACGCAGACCUUCACCAAAAGGCUUGCUUUGGAUCGCCACAUUGAAAGCCAUACGCAGAUGUAGGGCUGAGCCAAAACUUGAUGAUCUUGCAUUUCGGGAAGAGGUGUACGACUAGGAGUCUCACGCUGUGCAAGUACCAUCUCGUCCGAAGCAUUGGCAGGACUGCCUCUUCUUGGACUUAUUGUUGUCUUUCCUAAAAUGGCUUUGCUGGUCCUCUUGUUGAUGUUCGUUGUUUGUCGUGAGGUGAACAGCAUAGAAUAAAAAGAAGCGUGUCAGAAUUGUGGGAGAUGGUAAUGUGUUUCUGCUUUUUAAGGAUUGCAGGUAGGUUUCUCUGUACUAUGCUCUUUUUUUGUCUGAAGCACAGCAAGAGUGUGCCUUGUGUUUGCUCCAGAGACAUUGGAAAGCACAAAGAGGGGGAGCCUACCAUCAUCCCCGAACAGAAGUCGAAAAAGCUGGGGUUGGCUAGUCUAUUAAUUAUUCAACAAAGUAGUAUUGCCGCAGCCAUUGAACGUGCCUGUUGCCAAAUUGACUUGGUUGGUGCAUUGCUCCCAGCAAAGUUUUCUGAACUCGUUGGGAAAUUAGAGCACUUAGACCCCCUUUAAUGAAAGUGUGUACUUUGAAGGUACAUGUUGCUGUCAUUGGUACUUUUGCCACAUUGGGAGUCUUCUGAUGUCUCUGACUGGCUCUUUUCAUUUCCUUUUAAGUAUGGCGAAGUUGUCAGUAAGGCACCUUGCUUACAUUGCAGGCAUAAUGGGCAUCAAGAACGAGCCUCUGGAAAGUGCGAUGGAGGUUCAUGUGGCCAUCCUUGCCCACGAGGAGGGAAAGCUGCGUCCGUUUACGUGUGCCGUGUGUGGUAAGACCUUUAAAGCCGCCCACCACAAGAGGGAGCACAUGCGCCGGCAUACAGGCGAGCGUCCUUACAAAUGCACCGUCUGCGGUGCAUCAUUCACCAAGAAGGACCAUGUCAAUCGGCAUGCGCGUGUUCACACUGGGGAGCGUCCCUAUCGUUGCCCCUUGUGCCCCAUGACGUUUGCACGCGCCUACAACCUCACCAAACAUCAGUCCCAACACGCUCUCUGAAUUAAUGUUCUGUCACAAUGUUGCUGAAAUAUUUAAUUACCAGUCAGGUAGUUGUGCUUAACUACUUUCUUUACUUCUCUGUGUGCACUACUACCAUCUGUGAAUUCUUUAGUAGAAUGUCUGUCACAAUUCUUUUAGAUAAUAAAACGUGUUCUAAAUGA